CGUAAAGACGCAUGCAGGUGGUUUGUUAAGUUCAGAUGUGAAAGACCCCGGGCCGUCAACCUGGGAAGUUGCAUUUGUAAACUAGGCAAACUAGAGUACUGUAGAGGGGGGUAGGAAUUUCUAGGUGUAGCGGUGAAAAUGCGUAGAGAUCUGAAGGAAUACCGGUGGCGAAGGCGGCCCCCUCGGACAGAUACUGACACUCAGAUGCGAAAGCGUGGGGAGCAAACAGGAUUAGAUACCCUGGUAG
rnacentral:rRNA from 1 species